UCUCGAUUAGUCUAGGGGUUAUGAUUCCUGCUUGUCACGCAGGCGGCCGGGGUUCGAAUCCCCGAUCGAGAG